rnacentral:rRNA from 1 species
UACAGAGGUCUCAAGCGUUGUUUCGGAUUCAUUGGGCGUAAAGGGUGUGUAGGUGGCGCCGUAAGUCGGGUGUGAAAUUUCGGAGCUUAACUCCGAAACUGCAUUCGAUACUGCGGUGCUUGAGGACUGGAGAGGAGACUGGAAUUCAUGGUGUAGCAGUGAAAUGCGUAGAGAUCAUGAGGAAGACCAGUGGCGAAGGCGGGUCUCUGGACAGUUCCUGACACUGAGACACGGAAGGCCAGGGGAGCAAACGGG